rnacentral:rRNA from 1 species
UACGUAGGGUGCAAGCGUUGUCCGGAAUUAUUGGGCGUAAAGAGCUCGUAGGCGGUUAGUCGCGUCUGCUGUGAAAACUCGGGGCUUAACUCCGGGCCUGCAGUGGGUACGGGCUGACUAGAGUGCGGUAGGGGAGACUGGAAUUCCUGGUGUAGCAGUGAAAUGCGCAGAUAUCAGGAGGAACACCGGUGGCGAAGGCGGGUCUCUGGGCCGUAACUGACGCUGAGGAGCGAAAGCGUGGGGAGCGAACAGG